rnacentral:rRNA from 1 species
AUGGCCGACGACCUCCCCGCAUGCAGUCCAGAUUCGGGGACGUGCAGUGCUAUGCGUGCAAAUCAGUUCGGCUGCAAGUGUGUUGUACUUGACUUUUUUCUUCCAAGAAAUUUGUUUGCUGCAAGUGUGUUGUUGUUGACUUCACAAGUGGCUGCCUUCCCCCGACAGCCAAUGCGUCAUGCAAAAACCACGGCCAUGGCGCUCCUUCCCCUCCCCUUCUGUGACGCGCGAGGCAUGCAGUGCGGGCGGCGAUGCCGUGCAGUUUGUCGUGUGCAUCCCUUCCAUAGUUGUUGCUGUUCAGAGGCAACUUUUGUGUUUUCAGAGAAAAAUUGA